rnacentral:lncRNA from 1 species
CUUUUGGGGAUAUGCACUUGAGAUAGCUUGUCUAAUGCUCAAUAAUAUUUUAAGCAAGUUAGUUAGUAAAACACUAUAUGAGAUAUGGUUAAAGCAUAGGCCGAAGCUCACUUACUUUAAGAUUUGGGGGUAUCUGGAUUAUGUUAAAUGAUUACAAACCAACAAGCUCAGACCUAGGUCCAAUAAGUGUAAUUUUAUAGGAUACUCC